ACGGGACAGAAAAGUCACACGCUGCCGCCCAGCCUGGGUGAGGUCUGGGUGAAAUGGAAACUUCCUGUUUAUUUUAGUCCCCAGCAGCCCUGGGGGCAGGGAGGGAGUAGAGAUUGAAGCCAGAGCUGUUGCUCUCGAAAAGAAUCAUCAAAACUGCUGGAUCCGUCCAGAAAGUGGUGGCUUUGACGAUCAGAGCCAUGCUGUGCAGGCUAAAGGAUGUGAACUCUGUCAAACAGCAGCUCAAAGGCUGAGUCAGACGUGGCUGAGUCUCAAGCCUUCCUCACCCCAGCUACUUCCUUGUCAAUAUCUCUAAUCGCUCUGCAUCUUGGGCCUUCCUUGAGAUUAGCACCUGAACUGCCACCAUUAAUCCCUCCUAUAACCCCUUUCCACCAGCACUACCCUGGGGGAUCUGAACUGAACUGAACCAGUCCCGGACCAUGCAACACCUCCGAGCAGUUCCAGGUCAUUCUCAGGAUGGUAGACAAAUAGGGCCUCCAAGCUCCGCCCAGGGAUGCUCAAACUGGGACAUGGCUGUGCAGCCACAUAUGCCAAGGAUGCAGGGGACCUGGAACCCUCCUUCGUUGCUGGAGAGAUUGGUCCACUCUUGGAGAACACGAACGAAGUGACAGAAGCUGCUCAAAGAUCUGCUUCAUUGAAGGUGAAGAGACCAAUACAAAUGAGAGAAGAGCUUAUGUCUGAUAUGAGGAAACGUCUAUUGACCUGGAUUGAAGACCAGACACAGAAAUAUAUCCCUCUCAACGCCAUGAUAAUCACGGCCUAAGCAAAAUUUUGUUUGUGAUGUUGAAAGAAAAAGAUGGCCCCGACUGGGAUGUCGAAUUUCCUGCUAGCUCUGGGCAGUCUAAACGAUGCAAGAAUUGUUAUUCAUUACAUCAUGAAAAAGUGAGUGGUGGGGCUGGCAAGUGGCAUGGUGGUUGGAGGUGCUGGA